ACGACCAUGCCACAUUGAAAACACCGGUUCUCGUCCGAUCACCGAAGUUAAGCAAUGUCGGGCCCGGUCAGUACUUGGGAGGGUGACCACCUGUAGGCUAUUGCCUUU